CAAAAACAUCUUUUCUUGUUAGUUUUUGAAGUAUGGCCUGCCCACUGACUUUAGGUUGAAGGGCCGCGGUAUUUUGACCGUGCAAAGGUAGCAUAAUCAUUAGUUCUUUAAUUGUGAUCUGGUAUGAAUGGCUUGACGAGGCAUAGGCUGUCUUAUAUUUAUGAAUUUUUUAUUGAAUUUGGUUUUUGAGUUAAAAUUCUUAAAUGUUUUUAUGGGACGAGAAGACCCUAUAGAGUUUUACAUUCGGCGUGUAGCUUGUUUAUUUGUUUGUUAUGUUUUUGCUUUGUUCUGUAUGUUUUGUUGGGGUGAUGGGAAGAAUUUUAUUAACUCUUCUUUGAUUUUGAUGAUAUAUUUAUUUAUAUUUUUUUGAUCCAUUUAUUUUGAUUAUAAGAUUAAAUUACCUUAGGGAUAACAGCGUUAUCCUCCUUGAGAGUUCUUAUUGGCGGGAGGGUUUGCGACCUCGAUGUUGGAUUAAGGUUAAUUUUUGGUGUAGAAGCUGAAUUGAUUGGGUCUGUUCGACCUUUAAAUCCUUACGUGAUCUGAG
rnacentral:rRNA from 1 species